rnacentral:lncRNA from 1 species
ACACAGUCAGAUUUCUAGCUCAGGCUGAUUUCCCAGAGUGGAGACAGGACUCUCAGAACAAUGAAGAAAGUAAUGCUGUUGCCCAGAGUGAACAUCGCUGCUCCCCCAGGACCCACCCUACCGUGAGUGGGCUCCUCCACUGCCCCUGUGCUGAGCAGGAUUCCUUAAACAAGGGCCUCAGUCCCAGAUUCCUGAAGACAGCCUGGUGUGCCUGGGGACAGGGAGGAUCCAGGAAAGCAGGAGGAGGAGCCUCUGAGACAGCCGAGCCAGAGGCAGAGGCUGGGUUCCAGUAUCAGUGCCGGCCGGAGCUGAGCGGGGGAGCGUGCUUUGAGAUGACAAGGAGCUGGCCGAGACCGGAGGCUUCCCGCCCCGAGCCGGAGCCAGGAGUCCCCCAGAGGCGCAGCUGAGGAUGCCCGCACCUGCGGAGAGUCGGGACAGGAGCCCUCUUCCCCAGACGGGCGGCCCACGCACGGAGCUGCCUCCGCUCCAAGCCCGGUGGCCGCGGCCACGUCCACGCAUCCGCUCGGAGAGCCGUU